rnacentral:lncRNA from 1 species
AAAACCAUGUAAUCAAAAGAGAUGCACGAGAUUAUCAUAAUAAAAGUUCUGUCAGGUUUUCAGCCAGCAAUUGACAUGUUGUUAUAUGUUGACUUUAAACAUACAACAAUUAAAACCAGCUUUAAGAUAACAUAAUCCCUGAAUGUGGGACACAAUUGAAUCGGGAUACCAUAGAUUAUAUAUAUUCUAUACAAAUAGAGAC